ACGUAGGGGGCAAGCGUUGUCCGGAAUGAUUGGGCGUAAAGGGUGCGUAGGCGGCCUGGUAAGUCUGGAGUGAAAGUCCUGCUUUUAAGGUGGGAAUUGCUUGGGAUACUGUCAGGCUUGAGUGCAGGAGAGGUAAGUGGAAUUCCCGGGGUAGGAGUGAAAUGCUGAGAUAUCUGGAGGAACACCAGUGGCGAAGGCGUCUUACUGGAAUGGAUCUGACGCUGAGGCGCGAAAGUGUGGGGAGCAAACAG
rnacentral:rRNA from 1 species